rnacentral:rRNA from 1 species
CGGCAACAGCUCAAAUUUGAAAUCUGUCCCUUUCAGGGUCCGAGUUGUAAUUUGUAGAGGGUGCUUUGGCGUCGGCCGUGGUCUAAGUUCCUUGGAACAGGACGUCACAGAGGGUGAGAAUCCCGUACGUGGCCGCCGGUCUUCGCCGUGUAAAGCCCCUUCGAC